rnacentral:lncRNA from 1 species
UGGCGACUGUCAAAAGGAAAUAGGAUCAUGGCAGCAGAUGAUGACAAUGGUGAUGGAACAAGUUUAUUUGAUGUCUUUUCUGGUAAGACCUGUCUUUCUGAACUGUCUUUCUAAGUGUAUUUAAUUGCAAAAUCAUUUAUUCUCAUUGAAAACACUAUCAACUCUUUCUUCCCACACAUAAAUGAAUUAACGUAGUAAGGUGCCUGGCAAAUAGGAAAUGUUUAGUAAAUGUGAGCUUUCUUAUUAUUACAGGGCUUUUAAGCCUCUCAAAUAUAAUGAAAUUAACAACUUUGUCAAUAUGAGUGGUAAUGAUAUUUAUUUUUCUAUCCAAAGAAAUAUAAAAUAGGUAUUUGUUACUCUUGAGUAAGUUGAAUACAUUAUGGUCCUUUACUCCCAAAUACUUAAGUGUGUAUUUCAUAAGAAAAACUUGGGUUUUUUAAUAUAAGAACAGCACAGGGGCGCCUGGGUGGCGCAGUCGGUUAAGCGUCCGACUUCAGCCAGGUCACGAUCUCGCGGUCCGUGAGUUCGAGCCCCGCGUCAGGCUCUGGGCUGAUGGCUCGGAGCCUGGAGCCUGUUUCCGAUGCUGUGUCUCCCUCUAUCUCUGCCCCUCCCCCGUUCAUGCUCUGUCUCUCUCUGUCCCAAAAAUAAAUAAACGUUGAAAAAAAAAAAAAUAAGAACAGCACAAUUAUCAAAAUUUCAGUAAAUUUAACAUUGAUAUAAUACUUUUAUUUAAUCUGCUAUUUUUGUUCCUGUUUUACCAGGUAACCCCAACAUUUUCUUUAUUAUUAUGAUUGGAUUUUAAUCUAUCAUUUUAAUACUUUUAGUUUUUCUCAUCUUUUUUUUUUCCUUCUGAUUUUCUUACCUUCUUUCAAAUGUUGAAUAUAUUUUAGAAUUUCAUUCUAAUUUAUAUAUUAGCUUUUUGGGCUACAACACCUCUUUGCAUUAUUUUUUAGUGGCUGCUUAAGGGAUUGGAGUAUACCUCUUUAACAUUUUGUAGUCUACUUCCUAGUAUUGUACUUUUUCACCUAAGAUGUAGAAUCUUGUAUGUAUAGUUUUAUUUAACCUUCAUCCAUCCUUUUAUGUUAAAGAUGUCAUAAACCUCAUGAUACAGAGCUUCAAUUUUUACUUUAUAUCAUUCUACGUAUCUUUAAAAACUUAAGAGGAAUUAAAAGAAAUUAAGAAAAAUUUAUUAUUUAUAUUUACUCUGUUAUUUAUCGUUUCUAGUCCUAGUAUCCUCUAAUAGCUUUUCAGUAUCAUUUUCCUCCCCAUUCUCUCUUUUCCUCUUGGACUGCAGAUAUACAGUAUGUGAGAACUUUUGAUAUUACUAAGGUUACUAAGACAUUUGUUGUUGUUUAUUUGUUUUAAAUCUUUUUCUCUCUAUUCUUCAGAUUGGGUAAUUUUUAUUGAUUUACCUUCAAGUUCACUGGCUCUACUGUUAAGCACCUUCAGUGAAAAUUUUUUUCUUUUUUUUUUUGCAUUUGAUAUUGCACUUUUCAGUUUUAGGAUUUUCAUUCUUUGCUUGUUUGUUUUAGUUUGUUAUUUUUUAUUUAUUUAAUUUUAGUAAUCUCUGCAUCCAUUGUGGGGCCCAAACUCAUGACCCCAAAAUCAAGAGUUGCACUCCACCAACUGAGGCUGCCAGGCAUCCCUCAUUCUUUGUUUUAAUGGUUUCUGUUUCUCUGCCAAGAUUUCCUAUGUAGUAAUUUUGGACUGCAUUCUGGAUGCUCAAUUCUGUUAUGUUCUAGAGACACUGGAUUAUGCUAUAUUGUUUUUACUUUUAGCAAGUAUUUAACUUGGCUGAACUUAAACUUCUGUCUUACCUGUAGUGGAUAGCAGCUGAGAAUCUGUUCAGAUAUUUUAGCUUUAACUGUACAUUUUGGAGUUCUCACCUUUACUUACAUAGUUUGGAGGUCACUUGGAGAUUUGGGCACAAAUUGGGAAUAUUCUUUCUGGAUUUUCUUUCUUAGUUUCUAGUUGCUGUUAUCAUUCCCCAUUUUUUUUCUGUCAUUAUUCAAGCUUUUAGGACCAGAGGUUUCCAUCUAAGCUUUCACUGUUCAUUGUGGCUCCAACUAGGGCUUAUCCUUCUACAAAAAAUUUUAAUAAAGGGGGAUAGGGAAUGCAUACAAGACUGUUUUCUCCUUUCAGGUGUUGUCUCCCAUUCAGUUUUUGCCCUCUUUGGAUUGUUUUUAGAUUUUCAGAUUGCCUUUUUUUUUCUUAUUUAAUUGAGUUAUAAUUAUACUUAUAACAUCCUAUUAGUUUCAGGAAUACAACAUAAUGAUUCAGUAUUUGUAUAUAAUGUGAAAUGAUCACCACAAUGAUAGUCUAGUGGCAGAGCAUUUGACUACAGAUAGCUUUUAAUAAUUUGCUUAGAGUUUAUAGUUGUUAUCAGCAGGAGGAUUGGUCUGAUAGAACCACUCUGCAAUUAUUGGAAUUGGAACCUUCUCACAAGUUUGUUUUUGAAAGUGAGUUUUUAAGUCUAAAUCUUAUGUAAUAGAGUCAUAAAUCUGUGUAUUGAGAUCUUUCUAUUUAUAAGGAUGUUUAAAAAUUGUAAACAAUUGUGUUUUUUGGUAUAAGUCUAAUAAAGUCUCUGUCUUUUCCUGGAUUAGAAAAACUUCACUAACUGCAUAAAGUCAGUUUUAAUUAUCUUUGAUUUUCCUGCAGCUUCUCCUCUUAAAAAUAAUGAUGAAGGUUCUUUGGACAUAUAUGCUGGGUUGGACAGUGCUGUUUCUGGUAUGUAAAUUCUAAAAUAAAAGUUUCAUUUUCUUUGGUCAGUGUAUUGGAAGUAUUUAUUUUGUUGUUGCCAAUUCUUGGAGUAAUACAUAGUUCCUGAACAAUUUGCCCAUUCUUUGAAAUGGUUAUACUUAGGUAAUUAUUUUUUUGACCAAAGUUUGAUCACUAAAACAAAUUAGCACUCAGUUUUGCUAUUCAUCUAGGUCUUAGAUUUAACUGGACCUAGAGCAGGUAUAUUUUGUACAUUGAAAUGCAGCUGCUGGUGGGGUCUAUACAUAUAUUACUGCUCAUACUGUCAUGGCUUACAUAUUAGAACUUUUGAAAAGGGUAGUUACUAUAAAUGUUUUCAAAUGUAUCAGUAAGAGGUGCCUGGGUGACUCAGUUGGUUGGACAUCCAACUUUGGUUCAGGUCAUGAUCUCGUGGCUUGUGAGUUCAAGCCCUGCAUUGUGAGUUCGAGGCCCUGUCAGGCCUCUAUGCUGACAGGUCAGAGCCUGGAGCCUGUUUCAGAUUCUGAUCUCCCUCUCUCUCUCUGCCCUUCCCCCAUUUGUGCUUGCUUGCUUCCUGGCUCUCUCUCUCUCUCUCUCUCUCUCUCUCUUUGUCUCGCUCUCUCUCUCAAAAAUAAACAUUAAACAAACAAACCAACAAACAAAACAAAUGUAUCAGUAAGAGUGGUAUGGAGAGAGUCUAAUGACCUAUCCAAAUUAGAAACCUUUCCAUAAUCAAAUCUCUCAAAGCUUUGAACAAAUAUGGUCCUCACAUCUGAUUUGUUGUCAUAAGUAUUUUAGGUAAAUUGGCUUUCCAACCAAUCAGUAUAGAUUUGGAUGAAAUGCAGGAGAUGCAGAAAUAUAUAGCCCUUUGAUUUGCAGUAGACACAACAUCAAAAAGCUUGACACAUAUUUUCUAUUUUCCCCACCUUUAUUGAGAUAUAGUUAACACGUAACAUUGUGUAAGUUUAAGUAUUGAUUUGAUACACUUAUAUGUUGCAAAAUGAUUACCACUUUAGCCUUAGCUAAAUUAUGUGACAUAAUUACCUGCAUCAAUUAUGUGAUAUAAUUAGCCUGCAUCAAUUAUGUGACAUAAUUACCAUCUCUCUUUUGUGGUGAGAACAUUUAAGAUCUAUUCUCUUAGCAACUUUUAAGUAUGUAAUACACACAGUAUGAUUAACUAUCAUCACUCUGCUCUGUUUUAGAUCCCUAAACCUUAUUUAUCUUAUAGCUAGAAGUUUAUAUUCUGGUUUUUUAAAGUUUAUUUAUUUAUUUAUUUAUUUAAAAAAUUUUUUUUAACGUUUAUUUAUUUUUGAGACAGAGAGAGACAGAGCAUGAACGGGGGAGGGUCAGAGAGAGAGGGAGACAGAGAAUCUGAAACAGGCUCCAGGCUCUGAGCGGUCAGCACAGAGCCCGACGCGGGGCUCGAACCCACGGACCGUGAGAUCGUGACCUGAGCUGAAGUCGGCCGCUUAACCGACUGAGCCACCCAAGCGCCCCUAUUUAUUUAUUUAUUUAGAGAGAGAGCACAAGCGAGCAUGAGCAGGGGAGGGGCAGAGAGAGAGGGAGAGAGAGAAUCCCAAGUAGGCUCUUCCCUGUCAAUACUGAGCCUGAUGUGGGGCUAGAACUCACAAACCAUGAGAUCAUGACCUGAGCUGAAAUCAAGAGUGCUCAACCAACUGAGCCACCCAAGGGCCCCUGGAAGUUCAUACUCUUUGAUCAAUAUCUCUUCUGUCACCCCAGCCCCUGGUAAGCACUGUUCUAGUCUGUUUCUAUGUAUUUGGCAUUUUUAUAUUUCACAUACAAGUUGGUGUCAUGUGCUAUUUGUCUUUCUCUUUCUGACUUAUUUCAAUUAGCAUAAUGCCUGCAAGGUCUGUCCAUGUUAGUGCAAAUGGCAGGAGGUCCUUCUUUCUCAUGGUUGAAUAAUAUCCCAUUGUAUACAUAUGCCACAUCUCUUUUAACCAUCUGUUAAUGAACACUUAGGUUGUUUCCAUAUGUUGGCUAUUAUGAAUAAUGCUGCAGUGAACAUGGGUGUGCAGAUAUCUCUUUGAGAUCCCAGUUUGUUUUUUUUUUAAGUUUUUAUUUAUUUAUUUUGAGAGAGAGAAAGAGAAGAAAAGAGAGAAAUUGAUUGGGGAAGGGGCAGAGAGAGGGGGGACAGAGGAUCUGAAGUGGGCUCUGCACUGACAGCAAAAACCCUAUACGGGGCUCAAACCCAUGAACUGUGAGAUCAUAUUUAUGACUCUAUUACAUAUUAGUUUCAGGCAUACAACAUAAUUAUUCAGUAUUUGUAUAUAAUGUGAAAUGAUCACCAUAGUAAUAGUCUAGUGGUAGAGCAUUUGGUUACAGAUAGCUUUCUGUACACUGCAGAGAGCCUGAUGCAGGGCUUGAACCCAUGAACCACUUCCACUUGAGCCGAAGUUAGGCGCUUAACCAAUUGAGCCACCCAGGUGCCCUAAGAUCCUCUUUUUAUAUCCUUUGGAUUAAUACCCAGAGGUGGGAUUACUGAAUCAUAUUUCUAUUUUUAAGUUUUUGAGGAACCUCCAUAGUGUUUUCCAUUGUAGCUGCACUGGUUUACAUUCCCACCAAUCUUGCACAAGUAUUCUAUUUUCUCCACAUCCUUGCCAACACUUGUUAUCUCAUGGUUGUUUUUUGGUUUUUGUUUUUUUUUAAUUGGGGAGGUCUCUGAUAACAGCAGUCUUUACUGAACAUUUACUUACUAAGUGUGGCAAGUGUUUGGUGCUUUUUAUUUUUUACUUAUUUAUUUUAUUGAAGUAUAGUUGACAUACAGUGCUAUAUUAGUUUCAAGUGUACAAAAUAGUGAUUUGACAAUUCUGUACCUAAUGCAGUGUUCGUCAUGGUAAGUGUAGUUACUAUUUGUCACCAUACAAAGUUAUUACAAUAUUAUUGAUUAUAUUCCCUAUUCUAUAGCUUUUAUCUCCUCUUUUUGGCGAUAGCCAUUCUAGCAGGUAUAAGGUGUUAUCUCAUUGUGAUUUUGAUUUGCAUUUCCCUAACAGUUAGUCAGGUUGAGCACUUUUCCAUGUUCCUGUUGGCCAUUUGUAUGUCUUUGGGAAAAUGUCUAUUCAGUUUCUCUGCCCAUUUUUCUGUCAGAUUUUUUUUUCUUUUGCUGUUGAGUGUAUGAGUUCUUUAUAUAUUUUGGAUAUUAACCCUAUGUCAGAUACUUAAUUUGCAAAUAUUUUCUCCCAUUCUGUGGGUUGCCUUUCACUUUGUUGAUGGUUUUCUCUCCUGUGCUGCAGCUUUGUAAUUUGAUGUAGUCCUACUUGUUAUUUUUGCUAUUGUUUCCCUUGUUUUUGGUGUCAAAGCCAGAAAAUCUUUGCCAAGACUGAUGUCUAGGAGCUUACCCCCUUCCUUUUUUUUUUCCCUAAGACUUUUUGGGUCUCACAUUUAAAUCCCAUUUGGAAUGCAAGCUGGUGCAGCCACUCUGGAAAACAGUAUGGAGGUUCCACAAAAAACUAAAAAUAGAACUACCUUACGGGCCAGCAAUUGUACUACUAGGCAUUUAUCCACGGGGUACAGGUGUGCUGUUUCGAUGGGACACAUGCACCCUCAUGUUUAUAGCAGCACUAUCAACAAUAGCCAAAGUAUGGAAAGAGCCCAAGUGUCCAUUGAUGGAUGAAUGGAUAAAGAAUAUGUGGUAUAUAUAUACAAUGGAGUAUUACUUGGCAAUCAAAAAGAAUUUGCAACUACGUGGGUGGAAAUGGAGGGUAUUAUGCUAAGUGAAAUUAGUCAGAGAAAGACACAAAUCAUAUGACUUCAUUCAUAUGAGGACUUUAAGAAACAAAACAGAUGAACCUAAGGGAAGGGAAACAAAAAUAAUAUAAAAACAGGGAGGGGGACAAAACAGAAGAGACUCAUAAAUAUGGAGAACAAACUGAGGGUUACUGGAGGGGUUGUGGAGGGAGGAUGGGCUAAAUGGGUAAGGGGCACUAAGGAAUCUACUCCUGAAAUCGUUGAUGAUAUAUCCUAACUAAUUUGGUUGUAAAUUUAAAAAAAUUAAAAAAAAAAACAUUUGGAGUUGAUUUUUGUGCAUGGAGUAAGAUAGGGGUCCAGUUUUCUCAAUACCAUUUAUGGAAAGAGCUUAUCUAUUCCUCAUUGUAUAUUCUUUGCUUGUCUGUCAUACAUAAAUUUACUGUAUUUAUUUCUGGGUUCUGUAUUCUGCUCCAUUGAUCUGUAUAUCUGUUUUUAUGCCAAUAGCAUACAGUUUUGAUUACUAUAGCUUUGUAUUAUAAUUAGAGAUCAGGAAAUGUGAUGCCUACAGCUUUGGUCUUCUUUUUCAAGAUAGCUUUUUUUUUUUUAAUUUAAAAAAAAAAAUUUUUUUUUUAAGUGUUUAUUUUUGAGACAGAGAGAGACAGAGCAUGAACGGGGGAGGGUCAGAGAGAGAGGGAGACACAGAAUCUGAAACAGGCUCCAGGCUCUGAGCGGUCAGCACAGAGCCUGACACGGGGCUCGAACCCACAAACCGCGAGAUCAUGACCUGAGCCGAAGUCGGACGCUUAACCGACUGAGCCACCCAGGCGCCCCAAGAUAGCUUUUUUAUUUGCAGUCUUGUCAUUUCAUACGAAUUUUAGGAUUGUUAUUUCUAUUUCUGUGAAAAAUGACAUUGGAAUUCUGAUAGGGAUUGCAUUGAAUCUCAAAGUACAUGUUUUAAUUUAAGGGCUUUUUGUAUGUUUGUUUUAGACAGUGCUUCCAAAUCCUGUGUACCAUCCAGAAAUUGUUUGGAUUUAUAUGAAGAAAUCCUGACUGAAGAAGGAACUGCAAAGGAGGCAACAUAUAAUGAUGUAUGGGUUGCCAGAAUUAAGGACAGAGUUAUUUUAACCUUUUGUAGCUUCUGAAGUGCAGACAUCAGCUUUUUAUUAAACAUUCUGUGUUGAAGAAAUAGCUCUUAGUCUAAAAGAAUAUUUAAGUUUCUGUCUUCAGAUCUGCUUUUUAAAAUCUUUUCUGAAUGUCUAAAUUUAGUUAUAAUUUGCUUGAUUAAAUUUAAGCGAAUAUAUAAAACUUCAACAGGCAGUCAGUAUGAUAAAACAUUUUAUCUUUUCAUGAUUUGUACUAAGUUAUAAAAUGUCCCAAGACUUAAUUCAGAUGAAUUUCUUUCUACGUUAUUUGAAUUUUAAGGUCUGGAGAUUGAAUGUGAAACUUAACAAGAUGUGUUUUGGUUGAGACAAUGUUAAAAACUAGUAGUUUUACUAAAUAUCUGUUAGUAGAAAUAGACCUUGUCUAUCCUUCGUAGGGGGUUGAUUUUCUAAAUUUUAAAAUAUUCUGAAGUGUCAUAUAAGCUAAGAAAAUAAUUUAGGAUGAUGCUUAAUCUUUUUAUAUCUUACAGUUGCAAGUAGAAUAUGGUAAAUGUCAGCUGCAAAUGAAAGAGCUGAUGAAAAAGUUUAAGGAAAUACAGACACAGGUAGGAUUAUAAUGAGUAUUUUUGCCUCUCUGUUUUCUUGUACUGCUCCAGUCAUUGAAGGGAAGUUUUAUUGAGGCCCUAGGGCCUUUUGUGUUAUUUUAAAAUCAAAAUGUAAUAAUUUUUUUUGUUAGAAAUUAAAAUGCUUAAGUGUUGGCGGUUUAUAAGGAAAUUCUUCUUUUUAGUGUUAAAUGAUAUAGCAAAUAUGCAAAAACAUGCAUUAUUUUCUGUGUCACUGAAAAUGAUAUUGGAAAACUGAUUUGUUAAAUGGCACUGGCAUAAAAAUCUGUUACACUAGUUAACAAAUAAUAGAACAUUAAUGGAGAUGAUACCAGGUAUUUUUUUGUUUUUUGUUUUUUUGUUAAUUUAUUUUGAGAGAGAGAACACAAGUUGGGAGGGGCAGAGAGAGAGGGAGGGAAAGAGAGGGAGAAUUCUAAGCAGGCCCUGUUCUAUCAGCGUGGAGCCCAAUAUGGGGUUUGAAGCCAUGAACUGUGAGAUCAUGGCAUGAGCCGAAAUCAAGAGUUGGACACUUUGAGUGACUGAGCCACCCAGGAGCCCCGAUACCAGGUGUUUUAAAAGGGAAUGGUUUGAGGAGCAAAGAUUUAGAAUGGCUGUCGGGGGAAGGUGGUGAUACCUUCAUAUUUUUGCAAGAGUGACUUUUUUGGUGAGCAUGCUGCAGAAUACAGGAAUGUCAUGUCUUGUUUUGAUAUUUAUUUAUUUAUUUAUUUAUUUAUUUAUUUAUUUUUUGGUAAAGUUGUUUCUCUUCGUUUCCCUUUCCCCCCAAAUAACUAGCCAAUCCUAAAUUCAUUCUUUGUUCAUUUGAGAAUUAGUACAUUGUUGUAAGUUAAACGUGAAUUGUUAAAUAUAAUAAAGCCUUAUCGUUUUUAUCUUCAGUUUUCAAGGUAAUAACCCAGGCAGAACUUUUUUCUUGUUAUUGUCUUUUCAUUUUGAACCUGGCUUUUUUUUUUUUUUAAUGUUUAUUUAUUUUGAGAGAGAGAGUAUGUGCACGCAGGUGUGUAUGGGAGGGGCAGAGAGAGAGGGGGAGAGAGAAUCCCAAGCAGGUUCCAUGCUCAGUGCAGUGUCUUAUCUCAUGACUGCGAGAUCACAACCUGAGCCAAUAUCAAGACUUGGGUGCUUAACUGACAGCCACCCAGGUGCCCCUUGAUCCAUGUGUUUUUUUUUUUUUUUUUUUCAACGUUUAUUUAUUUUUGGGACAGAGAGAGACAGAGCAUGAACGGGGGAGGGGCAGAGAGAGAGGGAGACACAGAAUCGGAAACUGGCUCCAGGCUCUGAGCCAUCAGCCCAGAGCCCGACGCGGGGCUCGAACUCACGGACCGCGAGAUCGUGACCUGGCUGAAGUCGGACGCUUAACCGACUGCGCCACCCAGGCGCCCCUGAUCCAUGUUUUAAGUAGUUUCACUUGAAAUGGCCUUUGUUUGGUGUCUGUUAUCUUUGAAUCUCAGCUGUAUAAUGAACAUAAUAGUACUUCUUUCUCGUAGGACUUUUUUUGGAAUCACACAAGAUAAAAAAAGUGAUGCCUGGCUUGCAGUUAGAGCAUUCAGUAAACAUUAGCUGUAUUAUAUAAGUAAAAGUUUAAUAAUCCUGUAGACCUAUACUUUAUUUAUAUAUACUUUAAAUAUAUUUUAUGAUGUUUAGAAUUUCAGCUUAAAAAAUGAAAACCAGUCUCUUAAGAAGAAUAUUUCAGCACUUAUCAAAACUGCUAGAGUGGAAAUAAAUCGCAAGGAUGAAGAAAUAAAUAAUCUUCACCAAAGGUAUAAUUGAGGGGUGUGGAUCUGUUUAUGAAUUACAUGGCUGUUGAUAUGUGGAAUAUUUUAAACUUUUGAGUGGAAAGAUGAAAAUCAUGCAUUUUAUUAAGUCUUUAAGGUUUUACUAUGACUAAUAUUCUCUCUCUUUUUAAAAUUUUGGUUGGGGGCAGUAUUUUCCAGAGAAUUUCAUGUUUCCUUCCCUUGCAUAGUCAAACCCCCAAAGCAGUUAUCUAAACUUGCUGUCUUCAUUUUAUGUUUCUACUCACUCUUGACCCCCUUUCACUCUGACUUCUGCCUCCAUUGGUACACCCAAAGAGCUGUCAUUUUGCUCAACAGUGACUGCCUCUAAGUCUAUCAAAUAGUUUUGAUUUCUCAUUUUAACUACCCUCACACAUUAUAUGACAUAAUUGACCUUUUCUUGAAAAUAGUCUCUUGAUUUGGCUUUCAUGAUUCUUAAUUUUCUUCCUAACUUGAGGUUUAUUCUUCUGUACUUGACUAGGUUGGAAUUCUUAAAACUCAGACCUGUGUCUUUUCCUUUCUCUGUCAGUAUAUUCAUUUGAAGUAAUCUCACUCCUACUACAUCAGUUCCAUUUAUAUAGAAGUAACUACUUCACAUCUAUACAGAAUUUUCAAAAUUACCUCAUUCAAAAUGGAAUUUAUGAUCAAACCUCUUCAGUUGUUUCUUACUCAGUGGGUUCUCCAUCAUUUAUUCAGCUGGUGUAAACCAGAGACCUAGGGGUAGACUGGCCAUUUAAUUUAUCGCCCACACCAGGACCCUUUUGAGAGUAGAAGGGCAUGCUAUUAAUAAUUUCACUGAGAUUACUUGGCAAACUGGGACACAUAGUCACCGUGCCUAGAAGCCGUCAUUGACUCUUACCUCUCUAAUCAUCCCUCAGACCUAAUUCGUUACCAUGUUCUGCUGAUUUUUAUGUCUUUAUAAUCUCUCAAAUUAUUCAUUUCUCAAUUCAUUUCAUCAUUGUUACCUAUCAACUCUCAUCUGGCAGUAGUCUUUGUGCUGGUAUUUCUGCAUCCAUUCUUACUCUUUUCCACCUCUGGUUCAUCUCUUCUCAGUGUAAAAGCCCCACACAGGACACUUUUUAAACCACACUGAACAUCUCACUAUCAUAGAAUUACUCCAUCCUACCCUCUUUCUUAAUUAAAAUACAUCAAUGGAUUCUCAUUGUUCUUAGGAUAAAAGAUCAUAAAUCUGAACGUGGCCCACAAGACUCUUCCCGAUAUGGUUCUAAACUACUUUUCAGGUCUUGCCUUUAGCGUUUACCUUUGCCCUAGGCAUCAUAGCUCUGGAAUUUCUGCAUUCUUUUGGUUCCUCUGAUGUACCAUGAGCUCUGCCUUUGCCACCUGUUUCCCAUCCUCUACUUGCUAAAAACCAACCUAUCCUCAGGUCUUUUUCACAGGGGUAUUAGUCUGUUAUUCCUCUUACACUUAGAAUUUUUAAAGUCAUUAAUGGGGUUACUUGUUUAGUAUCUUUCUCUUUCUAAUCUCCCUGUUAUCUCUGUUAAGAGCUCUAUGGGUUAGAAUUAUCUUUUAGUAUCUAUCUUUUCACUAAACUGUAAGCUUCAUGGGAGCAGUGACCAUGUCUGUGUAUCUUCACCAUUUUAUCAAGCACUUAGCUCAGAGUUUGGCGCAUGGCAGAUGGUCAAUAAAUGAUUGACAGGUGAAUGAAGGUAAUUUUAUAUGUAGACUGUGUGAUACUGUAAAGCACUUCAGGCCUUUUGGAAAUGAAGAUGGCUGUGUGUUUACUAAACUAAAUCGCACCAGUGCAGCUAGUAUGAUUGCUUCCUGAAAUGUUGGGGAAAUUUUAUACAUAUUUAAAUCUUUUAGCGGAUAGUUGUGAUGUUUUAACAGGGUGGAGAGAGAAGCUGGGUGAAUAAAUGAUGAGACUUAUGUCAUUAGAUUGAUUCAUGUGGUUAUACCUUAUCUAAUAAACAUUCUGCCAGUUAUUUUCACUUUUUAAUUGUGACCUGUAUCUGGUAUUCUACUGGUGUUUAUCAUUUGGCUGAAACCUCACGUUUAAUAGAAAACAUAUAAAUAAUGUAAGGUGAAAAUUUAAGAGUAUAAAUUCUGGAAAGUGUGUAAUGUAAAGUUUUGUUUUAAAUAAAACUUUUUUUUUUUAAGUUUAUUUAUUUAACUAAUCUGUACACCCAAUGUGGGGCUCAAACUCAUGACCCCAAGAUCAAGAGUCACAUUCUCUUCCAACUGAGCGAGCCAGGCUCCCCCUAAAACUUUUGAUAGUAUUUUAUCUAUCUAGUGUGCACAUGCUGGGGAGGGGCAGAGAGGGAGAGAGAAAAUCCUAAGCAGGCUCUGUGCUGUCAGUGCAGAGCCCGUUGUGGGGCUCGAUCCCACGAACCGUGAGAUCAUGAUCUGAGCUGAUAUAAAGAGCUAGAUGUUUGACUGGGCCACUGAGGCACCCCCAAAUUUCCCUUUUUUAUAGGGAUACUAGUUAUAGUGGAUUAGGGCUCACCCUAGUGACCUCUCUUUAACUUGAUUCCCCUCUGUAAAGACCCUCUCCUCAAAGUCACAUUGUAAGAUACUGGGAGUUAGGACUUGAACAUAUGAAUUUUGGGGAGAACAUAACUUAACCCAUUAUAAGAUCCAUGUAAGAUCUGUAUAUUGUUCUAGAUUGUAUAUUUCCCAUAUCCUCUUUUGUUUAAUUAAAAUCUCCCCUUAUUCUCCUGAGUCUUUUAAAUUUUGGUGUUCUCUGUACAUUUAGUACUGAUUAGGAUUAGAUUUAUGGAGAUUUAGAGAAGUUAUGGAAGUUCAGGAAAAUGGACUGAGAACUAAAAUGAGCUAUUUGCAUAUUAUUGUUAGGAAAACUGCCAGUUUUCUGAAACACUAAUAUAAAACCCUAAGACUUAGACUUUUUUUGGUUAAAUAAUAAAUACUCGCCAUUUCCCUAAGAAAGAAUCACAACUCUAUAUUUCUCUUUAUUUUUGCAUAGUAUGUGGCACUUUAAGAUGGCUAGUGAUGCUUUGGUUUUCUGUGGGAUUGUAUGUGAAACAGAAAACCAGGGUAGAGAGCUACGCAGAACUCUGAUGAUUGUGUUGUCUGGCAACAUUUUACUUUUCCUUCUGUUUCAGUUGCACUAGAGUGAGUGAGGGCAAGAAAAUAAUGUUAUUUGUUCUAAAAGAAAUGAAUCUGUGGUUAGUUUGGCAGUUAUCCACCUGUGGUGAGGGAAGUCUGGAAGACCUUGGUAAGGCCUGGGAUAGAACAGAAUGGUCCUCUAGUCUUUGUUGAACAAAGCAAAUGAAAGGGAGUUCCUUGUUUUGAAAACAGGCCCAUUUUGUUGGAAGCUGGUAAGCAUCACUCACAUCUUUAUAUGAAGUAAAACAGUUUUGCCAGUGUGGGGACCCCUGAAUUUUAAAAUGUUUUGCAUGUGAUUAAAAUCUGGAUCAUUUAAAGCAAUUAACUUUGUUUUUUGUUGUGAAUUUCUAUCUCUCAACAGACUGUCUGAGUUCUCACAUUUUCGAAAUAAUCACAAAACUCUAAGGACACCAGAUAUAGUUAAAACAAAAGAUCUUAAAUCCAGAUCUCCCCAUUUGGAUGAUUGUGCAAAGACUGAUAUCAGAGUGAAAAGUGAUGUUUCUAAAGAUGUACAUCAUAGCACUUCACUGCCAAAUCCCGAAAAGGAAGGAAAAUCACAUUGUGAAAAAAAGAGCACUUUGUAUUUGUCUCCAUUUACUGAAAAACACUGCAACAAUGGCAUUUGGUCACGUUCCCAUUAUCAGGUUGGUGAGAGUAUCUCAAAUGAGGAUAAUAGAAGAGGGAGAAAAGAUAUUAGACAUAGCCAAUAUAGCAGAGGAACGGAUAGAAUACGGAAAGACUUAAAUUCUAGUUGUGGUGAUAGUGAAUCAAGGAACACAGAGGCUAGUCAAAGGCUACAAGGACGUCCUGAGAAAUAUGGUAAAGGUGAACCAAAGGCUGAAAGUAAAAAUUCAAAGUUUAAAAGUAAUACAGAUAUGGAUUAUAAAAAUGAACGCGUUAACUCUUGGGAAAAAGAGACCUUUAGAGAAAGGUCAUAUACUCGAGUAGAAUCGCAAAGUGACAAAAAACUAGAAAGGCAAAGUGAAAGAUCACAAACUAUAAAUAGAAAAGAACUUAAGUCGCAAGACAAAGAAGAAAGAAAAGUUGAUCAGAAACCUAAAUCCGUAGUAAAAGACCAGGAUCAUUGGAGAAGAUCUGAACGACCAUCACUUACUCAUUCCAAGAAUGAAAUAAAAUCUCAUAAUUCAAGUAAAUACCAUCUAGAAGAGAGAAGAGGAAGGGAAGAUUGUAAAAGAGAUAGGGGUGUAAGUAAUCAUAGUUUUCAAGAAGGAAGAUGUCCAUCCUUUUUUUCAUCCAGCAGAACUCAUAAACACACUGACUCCAAAGAAUCUGAUGCUGUGCACCAGUGGGAAAAUACACCUUUAAGAGCAGAACGGCAUAGGACUGAAGAUAAGAGGAAAAGAGAACGAGAAAGCAAAGAAGAAAAUAGGCAUAUAAGAAAUGAAAAAAGAACACCUACAGAACAUUUGCAGAAGACUAGCAAAGAAACUAAGAAAACCACUACGAAUUUAAAGAGACAGAAUGAGCCCAAAAGUGAUAAAGGUGAAGUCUCUAACAAUGAGGUUUCUGAAGGAGCGGAUAAUAAAGAGCCUGCAAUUAAAGCUGACAGUGGUCCAAAUGAAACAAAAAACAAAGACUUAAAGUUGAGUUUUAUGGAAAAAUUGAACUUAACCCUUUCUCCUGCUAAAAAGCAGCCUGUUUCUCAGGAUAACCACCCGAAAAUAACCAAUAUCCCCAAAUCCAGUGGCAUAUGUGAUUUGGAGUGCUUGGUUCAGGCGACAACAGUGACAUGUGUUUCCUCUGUCAGUGAACAUACCGCAGAGGAAACCAAAUCAAAGUUAUUGGAACCAAAGGAUGCUCUUGCAGUUGCAUCUGAACCCAGGACCAGUAAUCCAGAAAGGAAAAUGGAAGGAGAGAGUGUGUUGGUUAAAUCUGUUGAGACUACUAUGGGUUGUGAUGUGCCCAUUUGUGGUACAGAGACUUCCUUCUCAGCACCUGUGGAAAUGGAACAAACAGAAUCCUUGUUUCCAUCAACAGAAAUGGAACAAACCAUUAAUAGUGCCAGGGAAGCAGUUCCUGUGGUAAUGGACAUAUUACAAACAAAUGUUUCUCAAAACUUUGGCUUGGAAUUGGAUACUAAAAGAAAUGUUGAUUUAAAUUCUUGUAGUGUUUCUGAAGGUAUGGAGAUGAAGGAGCCUUCUGCAACAAAAGUAGCUGAAUCCAGUGACAGCAUUUUGCAGCCUUCAGUUGAAGAAACUGAAAUUUUGCCAGUAGCCCUUUCAGAAGAUGGUAACCCCAAAUUUGAGCCUUCUCUUGUAGAUACACCAUUGGAUGAAAGUAAGUCUUGUCAUUUGGAGCCUUGCUCACCUAAAGAGACACAAGAAUCUUCACUUCAGCAGUCUGCGAUAGUGGACAACAGAAUGGAAAUCGGUGAAACAAACUCAGUAUAUAAUGAUGAUGAGAAUUCAGUUUUGAGCAUUGACCUCAAUCACCUGAGGCCUAUUCCAGAAGCCAUCAGUCCUCUGAAUAGUCCAGUGAGACCUGUAGCAAAAGUUCUUAGACUGGAAAGCCCAUCUCAAGUUUCAUUAUGUAAUAACAGUCAUAAAGGUAAUAGUUUAUAUUAUGUUCUAUAACUUUUUGUGAGAUUGUAAAAUAUAUAAGAAGAAUUAGUGCUUUUUCUUUUUUGAUAACAUAGUUCACAUAUUGUUCAGACCCCUGUUAAUUAGAGAGGUACAUCGAGCCUUUAAUCUAAAUUUAGAUAACUCUUAUUUUUACAAACAAGGGAGUGGUAGGACAGGUUGUUUCAAAUACUCUUUGCUUGCUUUCAGAUAUAUUUUUUAUUCCAAAGCCAUCAUCAAAUGGUAUAGAGUAGGUGAUCCUAACAUGAAGUAAAGAUACCUGACCGGUUGGUUGAUGGUUAUCCAAAUGACCAAACCACACCAUCACUGAGUACCAACUGAGGCCAGGAAAGACAUAGAAUGUGAUUAAGUAUUAAACAUUAACAUACUACUAAGAAAAAAAAAGCUAUUAAAAAUGGUGACAAAAGACAUAUGACAUGAUUAAAUAUUAGGCAUUAACAUUCUACUAAAAAAAAAAAAGCUAUUAAAAUAAUGAGUUGCCUCAGUACUUAAGUUUUUGUUAUAUUUAGUAUGGAAAUGUCAAAUGACUAGAACUCAGUUGUCAUGUGACUAUAAUACACUUUUCUCUUCCACAGAUAUAUUUCCACCAGAUUCGGCUCAAUCUACCUCUAAGAGCAAGUCUGAUCUCAAUAAGGAAAAUCAAAAGCCAGUUUGCAAAUCUGACAAAUUUACAGAUGCAGACUACCAUAAGAAUUCAUCUUUAGAUGAAUUGGAAGAAGGAGAAAUUAUAAGUGACAGUGAAAAAUCUAAACCACAAGAAAGUUUUGAAAAAAGUGCCAAACCUAGAACUUCUACUGAAGUCCAGAAUGCAAAAAGUAACCCAGGAAGUAGGAAAAGUACUAUGCACUUGGGUAAAGACAGUAGGAAAACAUCUAUAAAAAUUCAUCAGACCAAAAGCAGAUGGAAUAAUAAUAGACAAAGUGAAUCUAGCAGAUCUUCAAAAACAGAGAGGAAAGAUAAGACCAUGAGUACCUCCAGCCUGGAAAAAAUAGUUCCAAUUAUUGCUGCACCCUCUUCUGUACGAGAGAUUAUGCACAUGUUACGAAUGAUAAGAAAACAUGUAAGGAAAAAUUAUAUGAAAUUCAAGGUAAAAUUUUCAUUAAUACAAUUUCAUAGAAUUAUCGAGUCAGCAAUUUUGAGUUUUACAUCACUAAUUAAACACCUUGACUUAUCCAAGAUCUCAAAGUCAGUGACUACUUUACAGAAUAAUCUCUGUGAUGUUAUAGAAUCCAAACUUAAGCAAGUUAAAAAGAAUGGCAUUGUGGAUCGUUUGUUUGAACAGCAGCUACCAGAUAUGAAAAAAAAAUUGUGGAAGUUUGUAGAAGAACAGCUGGAUUAUUUGUUUGGAAAGCUUAAGAAAAUCUUAGGAAAGUUUUGUGAUUCCAUAAACUUUGGCAGUGACAGUGAUGAAGGAAAACGUGAAAAGAUAAAUAAGGAGAAAGCACAAUAUUCAAAUUGUCAGAAGGGGAAUGUGGACAACUCCAGCAAAGAAAUGCUGAAAGAGAAAUCCCCCAAAUCGGAAGAUUCUGUUAAUCAUAAGUCUGCACUUGGAUGUAAAAAAUCUGAGGAAAAACCUCAAGAUAAUUUCAGUAUUAACACAGUGAAGCGUGACAUUAAAAAAAGUUCUAACACUUGCUUUGAUAACAUUAAGAACUCUCAGUCUGAAGAACGCUCCUUGGAACCAAACUGUCCCAGCGUCCCAAAGCCAGGAAAAAUGGAAGGCAGCACCAUAGAGGAUGCACAAACAUCCCAGCAUGCAGCUUUGAAGCCAGAACGCAGUUUCGAGAUUCUUACUGAACAGCAAGCAUCUAGCCUUACUUUUAAUUUAGUGAGCGAUGCACAGAUGGGUGAAAUAUUCAAAAGUUUGUUACAGGGUUCUGAUCUUUUGGAUAACAGUGUUAAUUGUAAUGAAAAAAGUGAGUGGGAGUUAAAGACUCCAGAAAAACAGCUGCUGGAGAGUCUUAAGUGCGAAUCUAUACCAACUUGUACAACUGACGAGCUGGUUUCAGGGGUGGUUUCUCCAUGUCCUAAAAUGAUUAGUGAUGACAAUUGGUCAUUAUUGUCAUCUGAGAAAGGUCCAUCUUUGUCUUCAGGACUUUCUUUGCCAGUUCAUCCUGAUGUGUUGGAUGAAAGUUGUAUGUUUGAAGUGUCCACUAAUAUAGCUUUGAGUAAAGAUAAUGGAUGUAGUUCAGAAAAGAGCAAGCCCUGCAUUUCCUCCAUACUUCUUGAAGAUCUCGCAGUCUCUUUAACAGUACCAUCACCUCUGAAGUCAGAUGGUCAUCUCAGUUUCUUAAAGCCUGAAGUUUUGUCUAGUUCAACUCCUGAAGAAGUUAUUAGUGCCCAUUUUAGUGAAGAUGCCUUACUUGAAGAAGAGGAUGCAUCUGAACAAGAUAUUCAUUUAGCUCUGGAGUCUGAUAAUUCGAGCAGCAAAUCAAGUUGUUCUUCAUCAUGGACAAGUCGGUCUGUUACUCCAGGCUUUCAGUACCACCCCAACCUACCCAUGCAUGCUGUCAUAAUGGAAAAGUCCAAUGAUCAUUUCAUUGUGAAAAUACGGCGUGCUGCACCAUCUACCUCCCCUAGUCUUAAACAGAAUAUGGUGGCUGACGAGUCACUGGCAUCGUUGCCCAGAAUGGAAAAAGAAGCAGAUAAAGCAGUGGAGAAAGAAUAUGUUUCAUGUCAGAAUGGAGUUUUUAAAUCUGUGGAGGAAUUAAAUUCCAACAACAAUGUUGACAGCAGUAAAUCAGCUCAUGAAGAACAGGACUGUAUGAUACAAACACAGGUUCCUGAUAUAUACGAAUUUCUUAAAGAUGCUUCAGGUAAAGUGAGUCAUGGUAAUGAAGUGGCUGAUGAGUGUUUCAAGUUGCAUCAAGUAUGGGAACCAAAAGUACCUGAAAGCAUUGAAGAAUUGCCUCCAAUGGAAGAAAUUUCACAUUCUGUUGAGGAUCAUCUUCCAGACACAUAUAUAGACCUCACAAAAGAUCCAGUCACUGAGACCAAAAACUUGGGGGAAUUCAUAGAAGUAACAGUUUUAAAUAUUGAUCAGUUGGGAUGCUCUGAAGGCAAUUUGGAUCAGAAUGCUCAAAUACUAGAUGAUAUGCAGCCUGAUACUGUAGAUGCUUUCAUUGAUUUGACACAAGAGGUUUCAAGUGAGAGUAAAAAUGAGAGUAACCAUCCUGCUUUAGGUGUUGGACGCUUGGAAUGUCAGGUGAUAUGUGUAGAUGAAGAUAACUGUAAGGAAGGAAAGGUGCAAGUGGCAAACGGGCCUUUGGAAUGCAUUGUUGAGAAAGCCUGUAUCGAUUUGACCUCAGAACCUCCCAGUUCAUGUGAAGUAAAAAAGGAUGACUUAAAACCAGAGUCGGCAUCAAAUUCUGAUAGUUCAGUGUUGCCUGGGACUUUGGAUAAUGCUCCUAAAAAGAGAAAAAAACUUUCUGAUCUAAAUCAUUCUCAUAAAAAACAGAGAAAGGAAACAGACUUAACCAGUAGGGAAAAGACUAAGAAAAUUACCCAUGAUUCUUCUGAGAAUGGUGAAGCUCACCGAAAGAAAGCCAGUAAGAAAAAGGCCCCUGCAGUGACUAAAGAUCCCUCAUCGUUGAAGUCAAGCCCAGGGAUCGAGGAACUGUCAGCAACUGCCACUUCUCCUAUAAGCCUUUCUGCAAAGAAUGUUAUUAAAAAGAAGGGAGAAAUUAUAGUUUUAUGGACAAGGUAAGAAUCUUGAGACUUUUAAGUCACCAGGAAAUUUUGAGAGGCCAGGCAUCUGUUCUGUCAUGUCAUCAUAGUUUUAUCCCAUCCUAAAUUAAGGCAAGUGAGGACUGACUUCAAAAGUGGCCAAAGUUGGUAAAGAAUGCAUUCUAGAGUGCAGUCCAGCUGUAGUAUAGAACAGUUUAGAGCAGUGGCUCUUAACCGGGUAUGUGCAUUAGCACCAUGGACAUAACUUUUCACUGUUCUUUUAAAAAUUUUUUUUUAACUUUUUCAGUUAAAAAUUCUUUGUAAGGAACUGGUAUAACCACAUUUUAGAAAGGAAGAAUAUAACCACAUUUUAGAAAGGAAGAAUGACAGGUGGUGAAACGGGCAAAAAGUGCAUUUGUAAUUUGAGUUUUCCCCUAAACUAGGAGUUUCGAAAAAGUUUCAUCAAUUGGUUGUCCUCUUGACUUUCAUGUAAACUUUUUAAGAAAUGGAGAUUUAAAGGUGACUACAUUUGUGAACCAUUGGACUAGAGGUUCAUGCUCUCCAGACUUAACUAGAGUGCAUAAUGAGGGAAACUGAAUCAUGUUGAAAUUGGUGACCAGUUUUGUUUAUUUUACUUAUUUAGUUUAACUUGUUUUAUUCUAUUUAAUUAAUUGCAUUUAAUUUUAAAAAAUAUAUUUAUUUUGAUAGGGAGAACAUGCAUGUGCAAGUGGGGGGGGCAGAGGGAGAGAGGGAAGUGGAAUGUGGGGACAUGCACGUUUGGGGAACAGUUGGUGUUUGGAUGCAUGUGAAGUGCCUGGCUCUUUGCCCCAUUUGAGAGUCCCACAUCCUUUUUUUUUUUUUUUUUUAAAGUUUUAUUAAUUGAUUCAUUUAGAGAGAGCACAAGUGGGGGAGGGGCAGAGAGGAGAGACAGAAUCCCAGGCAGGCUCUACUCCAUCAGCACAGAGCCCCAUCAAACUCAACAAUUAUGAGACCAUGACCAGAGCCGAGAUCAAGAGUAGGAUGCUCAACUGACUGUGCUACCCAGGCACCCCGAGAGUCCCACAUUCUUUCUCCCUUGUCACCUUGAGCUUAGCUCAAGUCUCUAGAAACUGUCCCUUUGCUUUUGCUCUUAACCUCUGGUCCUGGACAUGCUCAAAGGUCUAGGGGAACUGUAUAGCAACCCCCUGGUAACCAGUUUUGUUUAAUACCACAGUCUUCCAUGCCUUCAUUCCGGAUAAUUUAUAGAUGGCAGAAUAGUAUCUCAGAGAUUAUAACACGCACUGGUUCAGAUCACGUAGAAAAACAAAUCUGGGAAUGAGAAUGCCUGGAUUCUAUUUUACUUUUGGUUUUUCUGCUUAUGAAGACUUUGAUCUUGUUUGGGCCCUAAUUUUAAAAGUACACAUUGGGGCACCUGGGUGGCUCAGUGGGUUAAGCAUCUGACUUCAGCUCAUGUUAUGAUCUCUUGGUUUGCAGGUUCAAGCCCUGCAUCUGGCUGUCUGCUGUCAGUGCAGAGCCCACUUCGGAUCCUCUGUCUCCCUCUCCCUCUCUCUCUGCCCCUCCCCUGUGUGUGAACAUGUGCACUUUCUCUCAAAAAUAAACAUUAAAAAGAAAGUACACAUUAAAGGUAGAUUAAGAAAAAAAAAACACCUUUAAUUUUGUCAUUAGAAUAAAUUGGUUUAUUUAUUUAUUUAUUUUUUUAAAAUGUUUAUUUAUUUUUGAGACAGAGAGAGACAGAGCAUGAACGGGGGAGGGUCAGAGAAACAGACACAGAAUCUGAAACAGGCUACAGGCUCCGAGCUGUCAGCUCAGAGCCCGACGUGGGGCCCAAACUCACGGACCGCGAGAUCAUGACCCGAGCCGAAGUCAGAUGCUCAACCAACUGAGCCACCCAGGCGCCCCCAAAUUGGUUUAUUUUAGAAAAUUUUGGGGACCCCCAGGUGGCUCAGUUGGUUGAGCAUCUGACUUCAGCUCAGGUCAUAAUCUCGUAGUGUGUGAGUUCCAGCCCCACGUCGGGCUUUGUGCUGAUAGCUAAGAGCCUGGAGCCUGCUUCAGAUUCUGUCUCUCUCUGCCUCUUCCCCACUCACACUCUGUCUCUCAAAAAUGAAUAAAUGUUAAAAAAAUUUUUUUUUUAAUUUUUUGGGAAAUAUGUGUGAACUCAAACAUUAAAAUCAUGCAUACUAUUUCUCAGAGAUAAUCAUUGUUCAUAUUUUGGUAUAUGCAGUUUGUUUGUUUCUGUGGGCUUUUAAGAAAAAUGUCACCUCCUAUUUGUAGACAUUAAGGCAUUGGAAUUUUUGUUACCUUCCUACUCUAAUCUACAGAAACUAAAAUAACAUUUUUCUCUCUUCAGAAAUGAUGACCGGGAAAUUUUAUUGGAGUGUCAAAAAAGAGGGCCAUCAUUGAAAACAUUUUCUUAUUUAGCUGCCAAGUUGAAUAAAAAUCCAUAUCAGGUAACUACCCAAUUUUUACAUUUCUAUAAUUUUACAAGUGUUUCUACUAUAUUUAGAUUUAACCUUUAUCAUGUUUAAAAUACGUAGAUAUUAUCCAAUUUCUUUAAAAAUUUUUUUUAAUGUUUCUUUAUUUUGAGAGAGAGAGAGAGCGCAAGUGGGGGAGAGGCAAAGAGAGAGGGAGAGAGAGAAUCCCAAGCAGGCUCCACACUGUCCACGCAGAGCUGAUGUGGGGCUUGAUCUCCCGAUCCAUGAGAUCAUGACCUGAGCUGACAUCCAGAGUUGGACACUCAACCGACUGAGCCACCCAGGGGCUCCUAUUAACCAUUUUCUUUAACAGUAUGGCUCUUUACAUAGGACUGUUAGAAACUUGGUAAGGGGCACCGGGAUGGCUCAGUUAGUAGAGCAUGUGACUCUUGAUCUUGGGAUCUUGAGUUUGAGCUCCACUUUGGGUAUAGAGAUUACUUAAGGAAAUAAAAUAAAUAAAUAAAAUCUUGGUGAUUGUGGACGUAGCUGGGAACAAUCCUAAUUUUUUCCUAUUGUCUUACCAUUUACUUAUUUGAUCUCAUUUGUCUUAUAAUGAUGUUUGCUUCUUUAAGAAUGUUUAAUAUUGAACAAUUAAACUAGCAAUCACCUUUAGUAUGAAGAUAUUUUAUUUUUCCAAACAUUAUUUCAUGUUUUUAUUACUGAGGGCAACUUUCUUUGUCUUUAGAUGUUUUGUGAAAAUAUUCAUCACAGAUAAAAAAAAUAUAUAUAUUGAGAUGUUUGUAAUUAACUGUCACUUAAAAUUUUUCAGGUCUCAGAAAGAUUCCAGCAGCUAAUGAAGCUCUUUGAAAAGUCAAAAUGCAGGUAGUUAAUGGUUCUGCUACAGGACACCAGUAAAGUAAAUAUCUGACACUGUAACUGUGCAGUUAAUGGCCUGUUAGUCACUGAAGAUAUGAGUAGUGGGUAGAGACAUCCAGUUUAGUUUCUGCUUCAGUCACAGGUUGGAGGAUGGUUGCUCGUGCAGGAUUCAAAGGUUGCUUCAUCCAUAGAGACGUGGCUUAGAGCGAAGCCUGCUGCAGUUCAGAUCAGCAUGGCAUCUCUCCUCAACCCUUUUUUUUUGUUUUUUUUUGGAGUAUAACCGACAUAUCAUAUUUCUUCUCAACCUUCUGAUUGCUGAUGAGUCUAAGAUGCGGGGGGAUAAUCCAUUUGAUGAUUAACAAAAAAUUUUUUAUAGAUGAAGAAAAAUAAAACAUUCUUGAAUAGCAUACAUUUCACAGGCAGUGAACUCUGUAGUCUUUGAAAUUUAGUAUUUUUCAAAUUUUAUUUAUUUUUUUUUUUAAUUUUUUUUUUUCAACGUUUGUUAUUUAUUUUUGGGACAGAGAGAGACAGAGCAUGAACGGGGGAGGGGCAGAGAGAGAGGGAGACACAGAAUCGGAAACAGGCUCCAGGCUCCGAGCCAUCAGCCCAGAGCCCGACGCGGGGCUCGAACUCACGGACCGCAAGAUCGUGACCUGGCUGAAGUCGGACGCUUAACCGACUGCGCCACCCAGGCGCCCCUAGUAUUUUUCAAAUUUUAAUUAGGAGUACUAAAUAUUUUAAAAUAUAAAACGUACAUCAUUCAUAAACAUGAAAUCCUUUGUCAUCUGAAUAGAUGACAUGAUUUACCAAGUUAAAUUAUUAAUGAUGUUCACUGACAUGUUUUCUUAGUUUAUUUAAGCCAUUCCUACAGGUUUAUAAUUAUAUAAGCCAUUCCUGUACAGGCAAUAAUUAUCAGCAGGUUUUUUUUCUCUAAGGCCUGAACCAAUUGCUUAGAUAUUUUGGACUUUACAUAAAGAAAGUUGUAAAGGUACUUAACCUAUCACUGUUUUCACUGUAUUUGUAUCAUAAUUACUUGAAUGCAGAACACCCAAUUUCAAAUUCAGUUCAGUUCAAAUUAAAUUAAAUCUGAAAAGAAUCCAUAUUUGGACAUAGAUCUUAGUGUGAAGGGUCCUUAUAUUUUUGAAGUUUAAAUCGACUUCUGGACCCAGUGUAAAUUUUAUUAUCUGUGGAUAACCUGUUAGUUUCAAUAUCUUCUCUAAGCAACUAGUUUGCUAAUGAGAUCUUCAGAAGAUAUUUAGCAGUUUACUGUGAAGUUAAAAUCCUAUUUACAUAAUUCAGAAUGUAAGAUUGAAUAAUGGAGAAUUUAAAUAGAAAAGCUUAUUCUUUAAGAACCUUUUAAAAUGGCCUGAUUAUUUUUCAGAUUUACUGUGCUUUAAAAUUUUUACUGCCUUUAAGAAAUGAAACUGAGUUUUUAUUUUACCUGAAUGUUAUGUUAAAAUGUGAGUUCCAUUCCCUUGUGAAGAUAAUAUAUACAUUUAUGAAAGAAUUAACUUGUAUCUGAAAGUGAUGCGUAUUAGUUUGAAAUUUCCAAAUUCCUUUACAAAUCUAAAAUCUUCAGUGGACUUGUUACUUGAAAUUUUUUUUGCUUGCAUGAUAGCAAAAAUAGUAGGUUAUUUUAUUCCUAUCUGUCUCUUAACUGAUUUUUUUUCCAUCCAAGUGCUAUAGUCUCAUAAGAUUCUUGCCAGAAUCAGAAUAUAGCAAUAAAGUUACCAAACUGAGUCUGUAAAAAGCUAGUUCUUUAUCACUGAUAUUACCUGAGUGAACUCAUUUAAAGAACAACACCUUAUAAAAUGGUCAUCAGAAAAAUAGAAUCAUAACUUCAGCAUUUUCUUACAUUACAGAUAAAUUGCUGAAUUCCUUGGAGUCUUGAUUGAUAUUGCAUAUUUCACAGAAGCUUGGAAUUCCUCAUGUUUUAAAUGGGGAAGUAGAGGGCAGUUUCAUGGCAUAUUCGAUUAGUAAUAAAAAUCUACAUUUGUAAUUGCUGACGCUUUAAUCUCAAGUCAGCAUGCUUGGCUUGUUCCAGUCAUCAGUCUGAUUUGCUCACUUGUUAUUGGUCAAGAUAUUUAUUUUUGAACAGAACUUGUUAUUAAGAUAAAAGCAACAACGAAAUGGCAUUGAAACCUCAAAGAAAUGACUUUCUUUUCUAGAUUUUUCAAAAUAAUUUUGUAGCAUUUGAAACGAUUAUUUAGUUCAUUUUCAUCCAUUUUUAUUUGCUUUUCUAAUUGCCUCUCAUUUUGGUACAUUGUAAAAUAAUUUAAAUAGUGUAUAUGUAAAUAUGUAUAAUUACAGUGAUGUAUAAUACUUUGUGUAUAGGUGUGUUUGUGUGUACAUACACACAUAAAUGGCUUUGCCUAGCCAAGGAUUUUUUUUAUCUGUAUAAAACUUUUUGUAUAAAGUUUGUUUUCAAUACCAGUAAUGUAUAAAUAAAGCCAUGUAAAGUUCUGUU